GACAGAGGAUGCAAGCGUUAUCCGGAAUGAUUGGGCGUAAAGCGUCUGUAGGUGGCUUUUCAAGUCCGCCGUCAAAUCCCAGGGCUCAACCCUGGACAGGCGGUGGAAACUACCAAGCUGGAGUAUGGUAGGGGCAGAGGGAAUUUCCGGUGGAGCGGUGAAAUGCAUUGAGAUCGGAAAGAACACCAACGGCGAAAGCACUCUGCUGGGCCGGUACUGACGCUGAGACGCGAAAGCGUGGGGAGCGAACAGG
rnacentral:rRNA from 1 species